AUCGAACGCUGGCGGCAGGCCUAAUACAUGCAAGUCGAACGAGUGGCGGAGGGGUGAGUAGUGUCUGGGAAACUGCUCGAUGGAGGGGGAAAACUACUGGAAACGGUAGCUAAUACCGCAUACCAUCGGUUGUGGAUAGAUGGGAUUAGCUAGUAGGUGGUGUAAAGGCUCACGUAGGCGACGAUCCCUAGCUGGUCUGAGAGGACGACCGGCCACACUGGAACUGAGACACGGUCCAGACUCCUACGGGAGGCAGCAGUGGGGAAUAUUGCACAAUGGGCGCAAGCCUGACGCAGCAAUGCCGCGUGUAUGAAGAAGGCCUUCGGGUUGUAAAGUACUUUCAUCGGGGAGGCGUUACCCGACGAAGAAGCACCGGCUAACUCCGUGCCAGCAGCCGCGGUAAUUC
rnacentral:rRNA from 1 species